rnacentral:rRNA from 1 species
UACGUAGGGGGCAAGCGUUGUCCGGAUUUACUGGGUGUAAAGGGUGCUCAGGUGGUUAUGCAAGUCAGAGGUGAAAUCCUGGAGCUUAACUCCGGAACUGCCUUUGAUACUGUGUAGCUUGUGUACGGAAGAGGCUGAUGGAAUUCCUGGUGUAGCAGUGAAAUGCGUAGAUAUCAGGAAGAACACCAGUGGCGAAGGCGGUCAGCUGGUCCGUUACAGACACUAAAGCACGAAAGCGUGGGGAGCAAAC